rnacentral:rRNA from 1 species
GACGAACUGUCCUAGCGUUGUUCGGAAUCACUGGGCUUAAAGGGCGCGUAGGCGGUCCGACAAGUCAGGGGUGAAAUCCUGCAGCUUAACUGCAGAAGUGCCUCUGAUACUGUCGGUCUUGAGGGAGAUAGGGGUGUGCGGAACUUCCAGUGGAGCGGUGAAAUGCGUUGAUAUUGGAAGGAACGCCGGAGGCGAAAGCGGCGCACUGGAUCUCUUCUGACGCUGAGGCGCGAAAGCUAGGGGAGCAAACGGG